rnacentral:rRNA from 1 species
AACACCCGAAGUCGGUGAGGUAACCGCAAGGGGCCAGCCGCCGAAGGUGGGGUAGAUGAUUGGGGUGAAGUCGUAACAAGGUAGCCGUAUCGGAAGGUGCGGCUGGAUCACCUCCUUUCUAUGGAG